rnacentral:SRP_RNA from 1 species
AGUUAGGUUCUGCGCUAUUGAUUGUCGCCCAAUUCCGUCAGGACUGGAAGGUAGCAGCGGUAAGUGAUUAAUUGAUGAGUCGCAAUAAACUUGACUGGA